GACAGAGGGUGCAAACGUUGUUCGGAUUUACUGGGCGUAAAGCGCGUGUAGGCGGCUUUGCAAGUCGGAUGUGAAAGCCCACGGCUCAACCGUGGAAGUGCAUCCGAAGCUGCAUGGCUGGAGUCUCGGAGAGGAAGGUGGAAUGCUUGGUGUAGAGGUGAAAUUCGUAGAUAUCAAGCAGAACACCUGCGGCGAAGGCGGCCUUCUGGACGAUGACUGACGCUGAGACGCGAAAGCGUGGGGAGCAAACAGG
rnacentral:rRNA from 1 species